UUUGGGCAUACUUGGGCAAGAGUUUGGGCCGGUGCAGCUUGAGCUAGCUGCUCAAGCUCACCCUGGGCCACUUGGGCUUGGGCUGGUGCAUCUUGAACCAGCACAGCCUGGAUGGGCUAGGCCGGCUCGAUUAGGGUUUGCUCACUCUAGAUCUGUCUAGCCUGGGCUAACAUGGCCUGGGCUAGAGCGGCCUCAUAUUGCACUACCUGGGCUGGCUCAGCCCUAGCCUCCCUACUUGAGGCUCGCACAGGCCGUGCCUAUAUGGUGCCAACUAUGUUGGGCUCAGCACGUGAUGGUGUCAGGUUCCAUGCGUUGCUGACAUCAGCGGCGUCUGACAUUGAUGACAUUAGUAGUGUCACAGUUGACAUUGAUGACAUUGCAUUGGCAACUGCAAAAAGUUGCGGUGCCUUUACGGCCACGUGAUCCCCUCCGUUGAUCUCAAGAUCAAUGGUUGGAUCAAUUUGGCCGUUACACCCGUCGCCGUCUGAGGGUGGUGCCUCAGGCAUAGUAAUUGAGGUAAAGGUGCCAGCAUCUACUGACGCCUUUAUAGUCGGUUGAUCUUAACCAUUGAUCAUACGAUCAAUGGUUGGAUCAGAGGGGACAGCUUCACCCACCAUCGCCUCCUUCUCGAAGAUAGAGUAGAC
rnacentral:lncRNA from 1 species